rnacentral:lncRNA from 1 species
AGCCGGGGCGCCCCGAGCGCUGAGCGGCGGCACCGCGACCGCCCCCGCGCCGCCUCCUCCCGCCGCGCCCCGGCGGGCACUUGUUGCAUUGCGAGAGGGCUUCGGCAGCGGGCGGACUUCUCAUCCCGUCCUGGCUGAGUAGCAUCACUGAAGGAGCCAGCUGUUACUGCUGUGGGAGGUCAAGAGCUCCUUCCAGUUGCAUCUUCUGUGUCAUCUGUGAAACCCCCAGUUACAGUCCCCAGUGUGCUGGUUGCAGAGAGGCCACCUUGUCUACUGGGAUCACACCAAGUGCUCUGAGUUCCCAUUCCUCCAUCAGGUUUGGGCCAAGGAGAUGCAGCAAGCAUAAACCUUCAGCAGUUGGACUGACCCAAUUUUAUGCAUGGUUAGUGAUUUUGUUGAUUUUGUAUUGUUAUAUAUUUAACUCUGCAGAGCUUCCAGGCAAGGUUUGAAGAAGAGUGGGAGGCUUCUUUGUUUUCUUUGUUACUGUAAAUAUUCACACAGGAUGGCUGUAUGAUUUGGAGGGUACAACUCUUAAGACCAUGUUUAUUUGCUCAUCCUUACAGCAUUGUGCACAGCACUGCUGUAUAAAGUGUGCAGGAAAAAAAUAUCAAGCCAAAUCUGUUCCUCUGCAGAAAUUUCUUAUAUUGAGUAUUUAAAGUGGUUUUUACAGACUAAGGAGAAGAGUUUUUUUUCUGGUGUAGGGCCUUUUGCAUAAACUUGGUGAAUGAGUGCUGGGGGCAUCUGCUUGGGCUGACAGUGAAUGUGUUUGAUUAUGCAUAUAGUAAGUGUUUGUACUUCAUACAAAAGAAAUGUGAGUCUCCCAGGUAGCAUUUCACCAUGGAAAUCAGGUAGUGUGAAUUGUUAUCUCAAGUGUGUUGUCACAGGGAGGUGAGAUUUAACCAGAAUAGUCACUUCUGCUGUACAGACAAGGAGAUGACCUUGUGGAGAAGUGGCACACUGUGGUGCUCCUUUCCUGACACAAAGAAGGGGGAAAGGCUUCCUGUGUCAGUGUAGUACUUGCACACAGACAAGGAGUCUAGACCAGAAGCUGUCAGGUUGUAGAUUCUGAGAGAUUUAAAAGGAUCUUUGUGCCAUGAAAAGGCUUUCUACCUGCAUGCCUGAUGUUAGGAGUGAAGUUGUUGUGGAGAGGAAUAAUGCUUUGCUUUCCCUGCCAGCGCUUAUAUUUUUUUAGCUCUUCCUGCUUCUUGCCUCACUGCUGACAAGGAGGCUGGUUUGCCAUACUAAACACCUUAGGGCUGACAGGAUGGAGAAAACCUACAGGCUCCUUUGACAGCAGUAAUCAAUAAGAAGUGAAAAAAAUCUCACUCUGAAAAGCCCUUUUCCAGCUAUAAAUGGCAAUGGAAGUCCUGAAGGUGAAACUCUGAUUUUUAGCCCAAAUUGUGAAUGCAGAGGAUCAGGAAUCUGGAACCAGGGAAAAGAUUUGCUAAU